rnacentral:lncRNA from 1 species
CUGAACGACUAGCAUCGAACAAAUGAGAAAGUUAAUAAUACUAUUAUCAUUAUUGUUAUGUUUUAUAUUUGAAUUAUUAAAAGAACCAAUUAAAAACAUUCUAAAUUAUUUAAGAAAAUUUGAUGAAAAUAAAAUAAACCAAUCAAAACGUGUCCUUUUUCAUUUCUGCUCCGGUGACUCGACAUUCAUAAAACCGGUGAAAUUGCUUCCCAUUCAAUCUCCAUAAAAGUUCUACAAACAGAAGUUUUUUUUUUGCCUCAUUCCUUUAUCAGUUUUGUCCUAUUUAAUCGAAAGAGGGGGGGAUAGCCCAGUAUCAGCUUUAUCAUCGUGCAUUGCAUUAGUUUCCAAUACCAUAUGAAGUGUAGUGGUUGUGCUUGUGUGGACAGUUGCUGUUUAAAGGGAAUUAUCAUGAAGAGAUUGUUCAAGAGACACGCAAAACAAUAUGAAUUAGAUCACAGUUGUUUAUACGAACAUAAUAAAAUCGGCGAUUAUGUUAACGGAACUGAAACAUCUCAAGAAGAUUCAGGUAUAGUUUUUUCAAUCAAUUCUAUUAAAAAAUUAAAACUCACACAAAUAAUUAAACAUGCAAUCUAAAUUUUAAAAGAAGUUUUACU